rnacentral:rRNA from 1 species
AUACGGAGGAUCCGAGCGUUAUCCGGAUUUAUUGGGUUUAAAGGGUGCGCAGGCGGCCAUUUAAGUCAGCGGUUAAAUCGUGGGGCUCAACCCCAUUCUGCCGUUGAUACUGGGUGGCUUGAUUGCGGUCGAGGUUGGCGGAAUUCGUUGUGUAGCGGUUAAAUGCAUAGAUAUGACGAAGAACACCGAUUGCGUAGGCAGCUGACCAGACCGCAAAUGACGCUCAUGCACGAAAGUGCGGGGAUCGAACAGGAUUAGAUACCCUGGUAGUCCGCACAGUAAACGAUGAAUACUUGUUUUCGGCGAUAUAAUGUCGGAGGCAAAGCGAAAGCGAUAAGUAUUCCACCUGGGGAGUACGCCGGCAACGGUGAAACUCAAAGGAAUUGGCGGGG